UUUAUUGAAAGCUAAGAGCUUUUUCCUUAACCAGAAACCAUGGCUUUCUCUCAAAUCAUAACUCACCUAUGCUUUUGCUAUCAAUCUAACUAGGACACUCUGAAAGCUCAACACUCUCAACUACAUUCUUUUACUUUUAUGAAUUUUACAUGAACAUAAAUGGAAAUACUGUGUACUAUAAUAAAUAGAUAAAUGAUAGUAUUUAUUUACUGAUGCUAACUUUCAAAUGAUUGAUUCUAUCUCAUAAUUAAAAAUUGUGCUCACGUGAUUAUUUUUUACUAACUUCAUCAUAUGUUGUCAUAAUUUUGUCACUCUCACCGUUUUAUGCAUUUCUAUGUUCAUACUGUAUUGGAGAACACGUCUAUAAUUUCAUGAAGAUGCAACUUAAAAAUGGCCAGUACAAUGUAAGUGGUAAAGAAUAAGGUUCAGCAGGAAAUUGUUCCUUUGUGGAAGUGAAAGAUGAAGAAAGUGAAAAUAAUUCCUUGUACUCUUUGAAGUCAGAAAUUGUAUUAAAAGUGGUUAGUAUGUUGGAGAACAGGUUAUAAGUACUUGGCUAAUUGAAGGCAGAUUAGAAGCUUGGAAACUUCAGGAUUCUAUUUCUUAGUUCAUUAGUAGGAGAGGUCCAAUCAUUACAUGGCAGAUGUAGCGAGACAAUCUUCUCCAUUUAAAAAUUUCUUAAUGUGAUAGAAAGCUGUGCUAUUUAAACUGUUAUGAUCAUUUAACACAUGUGUGUCAAGCAUGAAUAUAUAUGUACUGAAGUCCCUGUUUGUUCAGUCUUCAAGUAUAUUUGAUAUUCUGUCAAGCAUAAACUGGGAGUUUGUCUACCUUUGGCAUACCAUUUUUUGCUAGAGGCAACAUUGAGUUUAGUGAUGCUUGCAAAUUUUGAGUAACUAUGGCAUCUCAUCCUGAAUGGCUUCACUUUGUACCCAUAUUUGCUUCAGUUGUGAUCCACCAAGCACUUGCACUUGUUAUAACCAAGUUAUUUUUUGAAUAAUACCUAUAACAUGAAAGAUGUCUCUGUUAUUUCAUUUUUCUCUAAUAUGAAACUUAUUGACUGAUUUUCUUAUCUGUGCUGACAAAAACUUCGUUUCUUGCCCAAAAACCCAUGUAAAUCUUUUUUCCUUGCUGUUCAGAUCACAGAUUUGCUUGUUAAUAUUACAAAGCAUGUGUUGAAGCCAAAGCAUCAGGUGCUGACUGAUAGGCAGAAGAAAAAUCUCCUGAAGAAGUUCAAUAUAGAAGAAAAGCAGCUUCCCCGCAUGCUAAAGAGUGAUGCAAUUGCACGAUAUUAUGGACUUGAGAGGGGCCAAGUAGUUAAAGUUACCUAUAGUGGUGAAAUCACCCAGAUGCAUGUCACAUAUCGAUGUGUGUGGUGAUAGUUUCUUGUGCUCUUUUGUAUUUUUUCAGGUUGAAUUCGUAGUAUUUAACUGUUGUAUCAUGCUUAAGGUUAUGAUUGCAUAAGUUGAUCAAUCCUAACGCUCUGAAUCUGUACUCUGUAAAUUUGGUGAUGACAUUUCUCUCUCUUAACUUCUUGAAGAACAACCUGCAUUGAGCAA